rnacentral:misc_RNA from 1 species
GAUGAAGAACGUAGCGAAAUGCGAUAAGUAAUGUGAAUUGCAGAAUUCAGUGAAUCAUCGAAUCUUUGAACGCACAUUGCGCCCCCUGGUAUUCCGGGGGGCAUGCCUGCUCGAGCGUCAUUUCAACCCUCAAGCUCUGCUUGGUAUUGGGCGUCGCCGGGGAGUCUCCCCGGCGUGCCUCAAAGCCAUCGGCGGUGGUGCCUUUCUCUAAGCGUGGUAGAAUUUUUAUUCGCUUCUGAGUUGGGCUUCGCCUGCCGGACAAACCGGGCCCUCGCGGCCCACCUUCUCAGGUUGACCUCGGAUCAGGUAGGGAUACCCGCUGAACUUAAGCAUAUCAAUAAGCGGAGGA